rnacentral:rRNA from 1 species
AGCUCCAAUAGCGUAUAUUAAAGUUGUUGCAGUUAAAAAGCUCGUAGUUGGAUUUCUGGUGGGAGCGAUCGGUCUGACACUUUGUGUGAGUACUCGUAUUGUCUCCGGCCAUCCUUGGGCGGAGCCUGUCUGGCAUUAAGUUGUCGGGCAGGGGAUGCCCAUCGUUUACUGUGAAAAAUUAGAGUGUUCAAAGCAGGCUUAUGCCGUUGAAUAUAUUAGCAUGGAAUAAUAAGAUAGGACCUCGGUACUAUUUUGUUGGUUUGUGUGCCAAGGUAAUGAUUAAUAGGGACAGUUGGGGGUAUUCGUAUUCAGUUGUCAGAGGUGAAAUUCUUGGAUUUACGGAAGACGAACUACUGCGAAAGCAUUUACCAAGGAUGUUUUCA